rnacentral:rRNA from 1 species
GAUGAACGCUGGCGGCGUGCCUAAUACAUGCAAGUCGAGCGAACAGAUGAGGAGCUUGCUCCUCUGACGUUAGCGGCGGACGGGUGAGUAACACGUGGAUAACCUACCUAUAAUACUGGGAUAACUUCGGGAAACCGGAGCUAAUACCGGAUAAUAUAUUGAACCGCAUGGUUCAAUAGUGAAAGACGGUUUUGCUGUCACUUAUAGAUGGAUCCGCGCCGCAUUAGCUAGUUGGUAAGGUAACGGCUUACCAAGGCAACGAUGCGUAGCCGACCUGAGAGGGUGAUCGGCCACACUGGAACUGAGACACGGUCCAGACUCCUACGGGAGGCGGCAGUAGGGAAUCUUCCGCAAUGGGCGAAAGCCUGACGGAGCAACGCCGCGUGAGUGAUGAAGGUCUUCGGAUCGUAAAACUCUGUUAUUAGGGAAGAACAAAUGUGUAAGUAACUAUGCACGUCUUGACGGUACCUAAUCAGAAAGCCACGGCUAACUACGUG